GCUGGAUGUAGUGGCCCACGCCUGUAAUCCUAGUGGCUCAGGAGGCUGAGACAGGAGGAUCGCAUGUUCAAAACCAGCCUCAGCAAAAAGUGAGGCGCUAAGCAACUCAGUGAGACACUGUCUCUA
rnacentral:sRNA from 1 species